CGGCAACAGCUCAAAUUUGAAAUCGGGUCCCCCUCCUCGGGGGGCCCGAGUUGUAAUUUGCAGAGGACGCUUCUGGCAACGCGCCUUCCGAGUCCCCUGGAACGGGGCGCCGCAGAGGGUGAGAGCCCCGUACGGUCGGACGCCGCGCCUGUGCGAAGCUCCUUCGA
rnacentral:rRNA from 1 species